rnacentral:rRNA from 1 species
CCUACGGGAGGCAGCAGUGGGGAAUAUUGCACAAUGGGGGGAACCCUGAUGCAGCAACGCCGCGUGGGUGAAGAAGUACUUCGGUAUGUAAAGCCCUGUCAGCAGGGAAGAAAAUGACGGUACCUGACCAAGAAGCCCCGGCUAACUACGUGCCAGCAGGCGCGGUAAUACGUAGGGGGCAAGCGUUAUCCGGAUUUACUGGGUGUAAAGGGAGCGUAGACGGGGAUGCAAGUCUGAAGUGAAAGGCGGGGGCCCAACCCCCGUACUGCCUUGGAAACUGUAUGGCUGGAGUGCGGGAGAGGUAAGUGGAAUUCCUAGUGUAGCGGUGAAAUGCGUAGAUAUUAGGAGGAACACCGGUGGCGAAGGCGGCUUACUGGACUGUAACUGACGUUGAGGCUCGAAAGCGUGGGGAGCAAACAGGAUUAGAUACCCCAGUAGUC